UGGGUAACCUGCCUCAAAGAGGGGAAUAGCCUCCCGAAAGGGGAGAUUAAUACCGCAUAAUAUGUUUAAGUCGCAUAUACUA
rnacentral:rRNA from 1 species